GCAGCAAAAGAGGCAGGAGUUCCCUAAGGCCUUUUGAAUUUUGACCUGAGGACACCAACCACCAUGUCAUCAUCAUCUGCACUGCCCUGAAAGCGGACAUGAAAGGAAAAGUAGUCCCCGAGACAGCUUGGACCCAACUCAUUAAGGGCCUUGAAGACUUUUUCUGAGAAAGAAACUAAUAUGGCAAACAAGUGGCCCAGUCUAUAACUGUUUCAGAUGCACGCAGAAUCUACAGCGGUGUCACCAAUUCAUUCAUCCCCAUGUCACAAAAAUCUCAAGGAUUGAUGCUGGAUGGCAGGAAGUCAAAAGCUAGAUUCUCUGUACUACAAAUGCACACACUGAAAAGAAAUGUUGGCAAACAUCACCACGGUACUGUGAAAGAUCAAAAUAUCCUCCCUUAUGUGGUUACUUAUCCAGCUUUUUGAAUUAUUCUUAGCGUGGUCUUUAACAGAAACAGCUCAUUAGAUAUCCAGAAAGAAGACAUUGCUGCAAAGAAAGUUUCCUGGUGGACCAACAAGGUCAUAACAAUGGCUAUGUAAUAUCCUUUUACAUUGCUAUGUCAUCUGUACAAUCUGAGACAUGGCAAAAUUGGA